GGAUAGCUCAGUUUGGUUAGAGCAUCAGAUUUAGGUUCUGAUUGUCGAAGGUUCGAAUCCUUCUCC
rnacentral:tRNA from 1 species